rnacentral:rRNA from 1 species
GAUGAACGCUAGCGACAGGCUUAACACAUGCAAGUCGAGGGGCAGCGCGAGAGUAGCAAUACUUUUGGCGGCGACCGGCGCACUGGUGAGUAACACGUAUGCGACCUGCCCCGUGCUGGGGGAUAACCCCGGGAAACUGGGCCUAAUACCCCAUGAGCCACGAGAUCGCAUGGUUUUGUGGUAAAAGGUUUUUCCGGCGCGGGAUGGGCAUGCGGCGCAUUAGCUAGUUGGUGAGGUAACGGCUCACCAAGGCGACGAUGCGUAGGGGUUCUGAGAGGAAGGUCCCCCACACUGGUACUGAGACACGGACCAGACUCCUACGGGAGGCAGCAGUGAGGAAUAUUGGUCAAUGGACGGUAGUCUGAACCAGCCAAGUCGCGUGCGGGAUGAAGGCCCUUUGGGUCGUAAACCGCUUUGGUCGGGGAGCAAUGUGCGGGACGUGUCCUGCAGUGAGCGUACCCGAAGAACAAGCAUCGGCUAACUCCGUGCCAGCAGCCGCGGUAAUACGGAGGAUGCGAGCGUUAUCCGGAUUCAUUGGGUUUAAAGGGUGCGCAGGCGGCACAUCAAGUCAGCGGUCAAACUGCGGCGCUCAACGCCGUAUCGCCGUUGAAACUGAUGAGCUUGAGUGCGUGCGAGGGAGGCGGAAUGCGCAGUGUAGCGGUGAAAUGCAUAGAUAUUGCGCAGAACUCCGAUUGCGAAGGCAGCUUCCCAGCGCGCCACUGACGCUCAUGCACGAAAGCGUGGGUAUCGAACAGGAUUAGAUACCCUGGUAGUCCACGCGGUAAACGAUGAUCACUGGCUGUGCGGUUUAAUUGCGAAUUGCGCGGCUGAGCGAAAGCGUUAAG